AAUGCAAUUCUGGGAAUGUUCAGGCUCUCUCUGUUCUUUCCUCUCUUGCAAACCAUGGGCACCCUUGGGUCCCUUGGGGUCACUAUGUUACACCUGCUUUUUAUCUGUCUGGGCAAGAGCUGCUCAAGCCACACCUUGUGACACUGAGAUCAGCUAUGAAAAUACCCAGCCGGCCUGCAGCCCUCCCGGCAGAUGCUGAAAAGGAAACCCGACUGGGAGAUGCCGCCCACCCUUAUCCCCAGAGAGCUGCGUUGUUUCCUCUUGCCUUGGCCUUUGGAUCCGGCCAUAGCAAGCAUCCCUGGGCACCUGGCUGAAGCUGGAAACUCGGGAUAAGAAUGGAAGCCCUGGAAGGGAAGAAGAACCGAGGAGUGAGCUUGCCCUGAGGACAGCACAUUGCACUCUCACCUCCUUUGCAGUUAAGUGUGAAAUAGUGCCAAUAGAGUGUAAAAGAAAAGAAAGAAGAUGAUUCACCUCCCAAAGAUUCCCCACUGCUGUGUCCCUUCUAUCAACUUGAUACAAAAAAACACAAUGGCCCCGGGAACCACGUGUUGAAGAUGAGAGAGCUAAAAGAUGGAAAGAGACUGGAGCCCUGAGUCACCACCUGGAGGAAAACUACCCACC
rnacentral:lncRNA from 1 species